AAAAGAACUUUGAAGAGAGAGUUCAAGAGGACGUGAAACUGGCAGAAGCGAAGCGCAUAGAGUUGAUGAGACCGUUACAAUCAGCGUACAGUGGAGCCUGGCUGGCGCCUGCUUGCUACUUUACGUGGCGGAGCGGUGCUGGUUUGUGGUUUCGCUAUGCGCGCAUUUGUUGCUGGUCGCGCCGAGGCGCUCGUUCGCUCCUUCCGAAGUCUGCAUUGUUGCCCUGCGGUUCGCGCUGCAGGUGUCUUGAUGCGGGCGGAGGUUGCUUGUGGCGAAUGGGUGUAUAAGUAAGCGCGUGUAAUGCGAUUGCGCGUUCUGUCUGCUAGCGGCUGCUUGGCGUAGGCGGUGGCUUGCCACCUGUUUGCGUUGAGUGGUCGUUGGUGGGCGAUUGCCGAUUGCGCGCUCUCGGCGUGAAAGUCGACCACCUAUGCGACCCGUCUUGAAACACGGACCAAGAAGUGUAGUGCUUGCGCGAGUCAUUGGGUGCGUAAACCUAUUGGCGCAAUGAAAGUGAAGCCGGACUUGAUCUGGUGAUAUGCGAUCCCGCGGUUGCGGCCGUCGGCGCAGCAUAGCCCCAUGUCGACAGCUUGCUGUGAUGUGGAGGUAGAGCGUAAGCACUGCGACCCGAAAGAUGGUGAACUAUGCCUGAGCAGGAUGAAGCCAGAGGAAACUCUGGUGGAGGUCCGAAGCGGUUCUGACGUGCAAAUCGAUCGU
rnacentral:rRNA from 1 species